rnacentral:rRNA from 1 species
CACGUAGUUAGCCGUGGCUUCCUCCUCCCUUACCGUCAUUAUCGUCAGGGAAGACAGAGCUUUACAACCCGAAGGCCUUCAUCGCUCACGCGGCGUCGCUGCGUCAGGGUUUCCCCCAUUGCGCAAUAUUCCCCCACUGCUGCCUCCCGUAGGAGUCUGGGCCGUGUCUCAGUCCCAGUGUGGCCGACCACCCUCUCAGGCCGGCUACCCAUCGUCGCCUUGGUGAGCCAUUACCUCACCAACUAGCUAAUGGGCCGCGGGCCCAUCCUUGAGCGGAAUUAACCCUUUGGCUAAGACGCCAUGCGGCAUCUUAGCGUUAUGCGGUAUUAGCAGGCCUUUCGACCUGUUAUCCCCCGUCUCAAGGGCAGGUUACCCACGUGUUACUCACCCGUCCGCCGCUAAGGUUCAAGAAGUAAACUUCUCUCCCCUCCGCUCGACUUGCAUGUGUUAGGCACGCCGCCAGCGUCGUCCUCGAGCCGACGGAUCGAACUC